rnacentral:tRNA from 1 species
GGAGAGGUGGCUGAGUGGUCGAAAGCACCGGUUUCGAAAACCGGCAUGCCGCAAGGUAUCGAGGGUUCGAAUCCCUCCCUCUCCG